rnacentral:rRNA from 1 species
CUCCCUGAUGUUAGCGGCGGACGGGUGAGUAACACGUGGGUAACCUGCCUGUAAGACUGGGAUAACUCCGGGAAACCGGGGCUAAUACCGGAUGGUUGUUUGAACCGCAUGGUUCAAACAUAAAAGGUGGCUUCGGCUACCACUUACAGAUGGACCCGCGGCGCAUUAGCUAGUUGGUGAGGUAACGGCUCACCAAGGCAACGAUGCGUAGCCGACCUGAGAGGGUGAUCGGCCACACUGGGACUGAGACACGGCCCAGACUCCUACGGGAGGCAGCAGUAGGGAAUCUUCCGCAAUGGACGAAAGUCUGACGGAGCAACGCCGCGUGAGUGAUGAAGGUUUUCGGAUCGUAAAGCUCUGUUGUUAGGGAAGAACAAGUACCGUUCGAAUAGGGCGGUACCUUGACGGUACCUAACCAGAAAGCCACGGCUAACUACGUGCCAGCAGCCGCGGUAAUACGUAGGUGGCAAGCGUUGUCCGGAAUUAUUGGGCGUAAAGGGCUCGCAGGCGGUUUCUUAAGUCUGAUGUGAAAGCCCCCGGCUCAACCGGGGAGGGUCAUUGGAAACUGGGGAACUUGAGUGCAGAAGAGGAGAGUGGAAUUCCACGUGUAGCGGUGAAAUGCGUAGAGAUGUGGAGGAACACCAGUGGCGAAGGCGACUCUCUGGUCUGUAACUGACGCUGAGGAGCGAAAGCGUGGGGAGCGAACAGGAUUAGAUACCCUGGUAGUCCACGCCGUAAACGAUGAGUGCUAAGUGUUAGGGGGUUUCCGCCCCUUAGUGCUGCAGCUAACGCAUUAAGCACUCCGCCUGGGGAGUACGGUCGCAAGACUGAAACUCAAAGGAAUUGACGGGGGCCCGCACAAGCGGUGGAGCAUGUGGUUUAAUUC